UACGUAGGGGGCAAGCGUUGUCCGGAUUUAUUGGGCGUAAAGAGCGUGUAGGCGGCCAUGUAGGUCCGUUGUGAAAACUCGAGGCUCAACCUCGAGACGCCGAUGGAAACCCUCCAGCUAGAGUCCGGAAGAGGAGAGUGGAAUUCCUGGUGUAGCGGUGAAAUGCGCAGAUAUCAGGAAGAACACCCGUGGCUAAGGCGGCUCUCUAGUACGGUACUGACGCUGAGGUGCGAAAGCGUGGGGAGCAAACAGG
rnacentral:rRNA from 1 species